rnacentral:rRNA from 1 species
AACGAACGCUGGCGGCGUGGAUAAGACAUGCAAGUCGAACGGGACAGACCGAGUAGCAAUAUUUGGAAUGUUCAGUGGCGAACGGGUGCGUAACACGUGGAUAACAUUCCGGAAAGCGGGGAAUAGCCCAGGGAAACUUGGAUUAAUACCGCAUGUGGCCGCAAGGCUAAAGACGGGGACCGCAAGGCCUGUCACUUUCCGAUUGGUCCGCGGCCUAUCAGCUAGUUGGCGGGGUAAUGGCCCACCAAGGCUACGACGGGUAGCUGGUCUUAGAGGACGACCAGCCUCACUGGAACUGAGACACGGUCCAGACACCUACGGGUGGCAGCAGUCGAGAAUCUUUCACAAUGGGGGCAACCCUGGUGGAGCGACGCCGCGUGGAGGAUAAGGUCUUCGGAUUGUAAACUCCUGUCAUGCGAGAACAAGGUACUCAGGCUAAUAACCUGAUUGUUUGAUGGUACCGCAAGAGGAAGAGACGGCUAACUCUGUGCCAGCAGCCGCCGUAACAC